rnacentral:rRNA from 1 species
GACGAACCGUGCGAACGUUGUUCGGAAUCACUGGGCUUAAAGGGCGCGUAGGCGGAUCAUCAAGUCCGGGGUGAAAUCCCGCAGCUCAACUGCGGAAGGGCCUUGGAUACUGGUGGUCUCGAGGGAGGUAGGGGCAUGUGGAACUUCCGGUGGAGCGGUGAAAUGCGUAGAUAUCCUAAGGAACACCAGUGGCGAAAGCGAUUCACUGGGUCUUCUCUGACGCUGAGGCACGAAAGCGAGGGUAGCGAACGGG